rnacentral:rRNA from 1 species
GAAGGUGUGUCGUGAGGCAUGCUGGAGGUAUCAGAAGUGCGAAUGCUGACAUAAGUAACGAUAAAGCGGGUGAAAAGCCCGCUCGCCGGAAGACCAAGGGUUCCUGUCCAACGUUAAUCGGGGCAGGGUGAGUCGACCCCUAAGGCGAGGCCGAAAGGCGUAGUCGAUGGGAAACGGGUUAAUAUUCCCGUACUUGGUGUUACUGCGAAGGGGGGACGGAGAAGGCUAUGUUGGCCGGGCGACGGUUGUCCCGGUUUAAGCGUGUAGGUGUGUGUUCCAGGUAAAUCCGGUUCACUUUAACACUGAGGCGUGACGACGAGGCACUACGGUGCUGAAGCAACAAAUGCCCUGCUUCCAGGAAAAGCCUCUAAGCAUCAGGUAACAUCAAAUCGUACCCCAAACCGACACAGGUGGUCAGGUAGAGAAUACCAAGGCGCUUGAGAGAACUCGGGUGAAGGAACUAGGCAAAAUGGUGCCGUAACUUCGGGAGAAGGCACGCUGACACGUAGGUGAAGUGAUUUACUCAUGGAGCUGAAGUCAGUCGAAGAUACCAGCUGGCUGCAACUGUUUAUUAAAAACACAGCACUGUGCAAACACGAAAGUGGACGUAUACGGUGUGACGCCUGCCCGGUGCCGGAAGGUUAAUUGAUGGGGUCAGCGCAAGCGAAGCUCCUGAUCGAAGCCCCGGUAAACGGCGGCCGUAACUAUAACGGUCCUAAGGUAGCGAAAUUCCUUGUCGGGUAAGUUCCGACCUGCACGAAUGGCGUAAUGAUGGCCAGGCUGUCUCCACCCGAGACUCAGUGAAAUUGAACUCGCUGUGAAGAUGCAGUGUACCCGCGGCAAGACGGAAAGACCCCGUGAACCUUUACUAUAGCUUGACACUGAACAUUGAGCCUUGAUGUGUAGGAUAGGUGGGAGGCUUUGAAGUGUGGACGCCAGUCUGCAUGGAGCCGACCUUGAAAUACCACCCUUUAAUGUUUGAUGUUCUAACGUGGACCCGUUACCCGGGUUGCGGACAGUGUCUGGUGGGUAGUUUGACUGGGGCGGUCUCCUCCUAAAGAGUAACGGAGGAGCACGAAGGUUGGCUAAUCCUGGUCGGACAUCAGGAGG